rnacentral:rRNA from 1 species
UCUUGAAAGAGAGAUGUGCCCUUCGGGAGGCCCGGAGACAGUGCUGCAUGGCUGUCGUCAGCUCGUGUCGUGAGAUGUUGGGUUAAGUCCCGCAACGAGCGCAACCCUUAUCUUUAGUUACCAGCACUUCGGGUGGGGACUCUAGAGAUACUGCCCCGGUUAACGGGAGGAAGGUGGGGAUGACGUCAAGUCCUCAUGGCCCUUAUGCCCAGGGCUACACACGUGCUACAAUGGGCGGUACAAGGGUAGCGAUGCCGCGAGGUGAAGCCAAUCCCAAAAAGCCGUCCACAGUUCGGAUUGGAGUCUGCAACUCGACUCCAUGAAGCCGGAAUCGCUAGUAAUCGUGGAUCAGCAUGCCACGGUGAAUACGUUCCCGGGCCUU